UAUCUGCAGUCGAGCGACUGAUUAGAAGCUUGCUUCUAUGACGUUAGCGGCGGACGGGUGAGUAACACGUGGGCAACCUGCCUGUAAGACUGGGAUAACUUCGGGAAACCGAAGCUAAUACCGGAUAGGAUCUUCUCCUUCAUGGGAGAUGAUUGAAAGAUGGUUUCGGCUAUCACUUACAGAUGGGCCCGCGGUGCAUUAGCUAGUUGGUGAGGUAACGGCUCACCAAGGCAACGAUGCAUAGCCGACCUGAGAGGGUGAUCGGCCACACUGGGACUGAGACACGGCCCAGACUCCUACGGGAGGCAGCAGUAGGGAAUCUUCCGCAAUGGACGAAAGUCUGACGGAGCAACGCCGCGUGAGUGAUGAAGGCUUUCGGGUCGUAAAACUCUGUUGUUAGGGAAGAACAAGUACAAGAGUAACUGCUUGUACCUUGACGGUACCUAACCAGAAAGCCACGGCUAACUACGUGCCAGCAGCCGCGGUAAUACGUAGGUGGCAAGCGUUAUCCGGAAUUAUUGGGCGUAAAGCGCGCGCAGGCGGUUUCUUAAGUCUGAUGUGAAAGCCCACGGCUCAACCGUGGAGGGUCAUUGGAAACUGGGGAACUUGAGUGCAGAAGAGAAAAGCGGAAUUCCACGUGUAGCGGUGAAAUGCGUAGAGAUGUGGAGGAACACCAGUGGCGAAGGCGGCUUUUUGGUCUGUAACUGACGCUGAGGCGCGAAAGCGUGGGGAGCAAACAGGAUUAGAUACCCUGGUAGUCCACGCCGUAAACGAUGAGUGCUAAGUGUUAGAGGGGUUUCCGCCCUUUAGUGCUGCAGCUAACGCAUUAAGCACUCCCCCUGGGGAGUAC
rnacentral:rRNA from 1 species